GGCAGUUCUCGGGUACCCUGGAAUCAGGCUCCCUCCUCUCUGGUUCCAGGUGUGUCACCCGAGAACCACA
rfam:Myotis brandtii contig162785, whole genome shotgun sequence.